GCUGGGCGCGGUGGUGCUUGCCUGUAGUCCCAGCUACUCGGGAGGCUGAGGUGGGAGGAUCACUUGAGCCCAGGAGUUCUGGGCUGCAGUGUGCUAUGCUGAUCAGGUGUCCACACUAAGUUCGGCAUCAAUAUGGUGACCUCCCGGGAGUGGGGGACCACCAGGUUGCCUAAGGAGGGGUGAAUCAGCCCAGGUUGGAAACGGAGCAGGUCAAAACUCCAGUGCUGAUCAGCAGUGGGAUCGUGCCUGUGAAUAGCCGCUGCACUCCAGCCUGGGCAACACAGUGAGACCCGGUCUCUA
ensembl:misc_RNA Metazoa_SRP Metazoan signal recognition particle RNA